CAACUGUAUUUGCAUCGAAGCUUGUAUUGAUGUUCAUUUUGUGCAACCAAUGUUUUUAAAAGAUGUGAAAGACACAAGAUGUUUGGACAUUUGCAGCGUCACAGACUUCGCGCAGUUCAUCAUGAACGUUGAUGUUUUUGCAAAAGACUGCAUUCUGUUUCCAUCAUGGAGCAAGUCACACUGGAUGGUGAGGGUUGCUCAGACCAUUUUUCCUAGACAUUGGACGGAGUUAUCCUGUAAAGAUCUUCCAGUAA